UACGGAGGAUGCGAGCGUUAUCCGGAUUUAUUGGGUUUAAAGGGUGCGUAGGCGGGCCUUUAAGUCAGCGGUAAAAAUUCGGGGCUCAACCCCGUCCGGCCGUCGAAACUGGGGGUCUUGAGUGGGCGAGAAGAAGGCGGAAUGCGUGGUGUAGCGGUGAAAUGCAUAGAUAUCACGCAGAGCCCCGAUUGCGAAGGCAGCCUUCCGGCGCCCUACUGACGCUGAGGCACGAAAGUGCGGGGAUCGAACAGG
rnacentral:rRNA from 1 species